AUGCAAACAAAGACAAUCAGUUAACAUGGCUAAAGAGAGAUCAUAUAUAAUUGCUCUUCUUCUUCUUCUUCUUUCUCUGCUUCUGUGUUUUUCAUCUCAAUCUCAAGUUGGUGUUGCCGAGGCCAAACGUCACACACUUGCUACCAGGUAUUCAGAUUCUCGAUGCGCCAAUAAAAUUCUCAAAAUUCCAAGUAAAUUUCUGUUACAAAAUUAGAAAACAAACAUUCUUAAAUAAAUUGUCUGUACAUAGUUAUGGUUCAAGUUUGCUGAGGGGGUGUAAACUAGCGCCAGUGCUAAAGAACCUAAUAAUAUGAAUUUGCACGUCUUGGAAAGAGAUUCACUUCAAUUCAGAGAAUGGGAGAUGACAAAACCUGAAAAUCAAAGGAUUACACCUCACUCGAAGUCACCCAAAGGAAAAGGACCAUAAGUGAUAAAAUGAAGUUUUCAAAAAGUGAAGGAGAGUACAAGAAGAGUCGACUUUAUAAUUGUGUAACUGUUAAAAGUCUAUCAUGGAUUUGCUUAUACAUAAAUCAAUAAAUGUUUCAUAAACCAGAUAUAUUCCAAAAACUUAUGUGGAA